rnacentral:misc_RNA from 1 species
GAUGAAGAACGCAGCGAAAUGCGAAAAGUAAUGUGAAUUGCAGAAUUCAGUGAACCAUCGAAUCUUUGAACGCACAUUGCGCCCGCUGGAACUCCGGCGGGCACGCCUGUCCGAGCGUCAUUAAAAUCACUCAAGCUUAGGUUUACCUAUUGCUUGGUCUUGGAGAUGGAAGCCAAUUUAUUGGAAUCCUCUUCGAAAUUCAAUGGCGAAGACCCUUGCUCUCCCAAGUGUAGUAAUAACUUAUGUCACUGAAGGAAGCGAGAAAUCUUCUGCCGUAACCCCCAUAUUUUCUAUGAUUGACCUCGGAUCAGGUAGGGAUACCCGCUGAACUUAAGCAUAUCAAUAAGCGGAGGA